rnacentral:rRNA from 1 species
UACGUAGGGGGCGAGCGUUGUCCGGAAUGACUGGGCGUAAAGGGCGCGUAGACGGCUUUUUAAGUCUGGAGUGAAAGUCCUGCUUUCAAGGUGGGAAGUGCUUUGGAGACUGGGGAGCUUGAGUGCGGAAGAGGUAAGUGGAAUUCCCAGUGUAGCGGUGAAAUGCGUAGAGAUUGGGAGGAACACCAGUGGCGAAGGCGACUUACUGGGCCGUAACUGACGUUGAUGCGCGAAAGCGUGGGGAGCGAACAGGAUUAGAUACCCUGGUAGUCCCUGAG